rnacentral:rRNA from 1 species
UGAACGCUGGCGGCGUGCCUAAUACAUGCAAGUCGAGCGACCAGACGAGGAGCUUGCUCCUCUGCCGUUAGCGGCGGACGGGUGAGUAACACGUGGAUAACCUACCUAUAAGACUGGGAUAACUUCGGGAAACCGGAGCUAAUACCGGAUAAUAUAUUGAACCGCAUGGUUCAAUAGUGAAAGACGGUUUUGCUGUCACUUAUAGAUGGAUCCGCGCCGCAUUAGCUAGUUGGUAAGGUAACGGCUUACCAAGGCAACGAUGCGUAGCCGACCUGAGAGGGUGAUCGGCCACACUGGAACUGAGACACGGUCCAGACUCCUACGGGAGGCAGCAGUAGGGAAUCUUCCGCAAUGGGCGAAAGCCUGACGGAGCAACGCCGCGUGAGUGAUGAAGGUCUUCGGAUCGUAAAACUCUGUUAUUAGGGAAGAACAAAUGUGUAAGUAACUAUGCACGUCUUGACGGUACCUAAUCAGAAAGCCACGGCUAACUACGUG